CAGAGGAAGUUUGAGACACUGCUGCAGCUGUCUGCUGAACGUCGUACCAAGCUGGAGACCAGUACGAUCUCUAUGUAUUUGAGAGAGAAGCUAGAGAUCUACAGAACUGGCUUCUCUUUCAUAAGACCAUUGCAGAGUCUGGAGGGGGUUGAGGCAAAGUAGGUCGAAGUAAACUGGCAACAAUCAGUGCAGUCGUCGGCGGCACAGCAAAAAUAGAAGGCUCUGCUCAAGCUGUGGGAGGACUUAAGACUAUGAAAGCAAGAGCAGAGAAUUUACGUUCUGCUAGAGAGGUUCACCAGUUUGACCAUGACUUGGAUGAGCUCAGGAGCUGGAUGAGUGAAAACGAGGUGACUCUGGACUCAGAAGAACAGGAGAAUGAUCUCCUUCAAGCUCUCAUCCACCAACAUGAAGGCUUUGAGCUGGAGGAGCACCUUACAGAGCUCCAGUAGCUGGAGGUGCGGGUGCUUCAGGCCUGGGCAGAAAGGAGAUCUCAGUAUCAGGGAGACCUGGAACUACAGCAGCUGCAGAGGGAGUUAGAGCAGG